GGCUCUUCCUACACCAGAGCAGCUCAGCUGCAAGGUCCUGUUGCCCAAGCCAGGACAUUUCUCAGCUGGUGACCUUGCAGGCCCUGUGCUGGAGGGCAGAGCUUAGGCAGUGUCAUCUGAGGAGCUGGAGGCUAGGGCCACCCUGUGAUGAGGUCUGUUCCUGAGCUCCUAUCUUGGUUGGGUGAUUUCAGACUUGGGAGUGUUUGUGUGCUGGCCGUGCCUGGCCAGUUCAUUUCACUUAGGUAACCCCUGUGCUCCUCCCGUGUCAGAGCGUGUGAUGUGCAUCCAUCAGCUGGUUUCCCUGUUGCCUGGUAUCAGUCUUAUCGCCCGUGAAGUUUACUGUUCUUUGGUUUCUGUGGUCAGCCAAAGAUUCAGCAACUCUCUGGCCCUGCUGUUUGCAGACAAACAGAAAAUCUGGCGCUUUUGUUAGUGUGACCAUGUCCCUGUGGUAGUUGGCAGGCUGUCCUGUCUGAGGUAAAAUUGCAGAUGUUUGAUCUUCAAACAGCGUCCAUAGGGAAUCUUACUAGCUCUGAACAGCUACUGUCUUCUUUGAUAUCUGAAGAGUAGAUAUCCUAGCUGAAAGGUUUCCAAUAGCUAUAUUUUCCUUGCUGUUUCAUCACUAAGCAAAUAAAGCAAUAGCAAACCUUUGUAUUGCUUAAUUAUCUAUAUUUUUAAAGCAUUUUGAUCUGGAGUUGACUUCGCAUCUCCACCUGCAGCAUGUUCUUAGGCAAAAGCACAUAACCAAAUAGGCCUUGGGAUGUUUCAAAAUAACCGAUUCCCUGAGCCUGUGGUGAUGCAGGGCUGUUCCAGUUAUUCCUUUAACACGUGCAGCAACAUUGCCUAAGCUGCAGCAGGGGUGUGUUGCACAAGGCUCUGUGAGGUGGGGACUAAUCCCUCCUGUGACGAAGGAACAAGAGGACACGGCUGAGGUUCCUCUGUAGGUCACAGGCAGAGUGCGAAGGAGCAUCCAAACUUCCUGAGCCCUAGACUCGUUCAUGUUUUAUGCAUCAGGUGGGGAAAAAAAAAAAAAGGCACUUUGAUCUUCAUGAGAAUGAAGGAGGCAAGGGGGAAGUGGGAACUUGUGCGCUGCUGGUGGAGGAGCUGGUAUGUUCACCUCGUUGUAUGUAGGGCCGGACCAGAGACACUUCUCUGGGGCGAGGGAGUGGAUGUCCCUGGAGUCUGACUUGAGUGGGUGUGUUAUUUGGUACAGGUUCCCUCAUCCACUCCAUCUGCACUGUGACUAAUUUAGCUCCUAAACCGCUGGCAUUUAAUCAUGAGGCUCUUGAUGGCUUCUCUCUAGUAACUCUGGUGGUGUGGCCUUGGAGAACUUCCAUGUGAUACUUGUGGCUUUCUCAAUGCCUCCCUGCCAGACAAAGUGCUAUCUGCAUGGGUGUCCGGCUGCUGGCAGCAGCAGUUUGGCAGCAUUAGAGGCACGGCAGCCAGGCCAUCAAAUACGCACUUGCUGAUGCACAGGGGGAGGCAGAGAGACAAGUGUUUCCUUCUGAAGUAGGAAGGUUUCUGCUUGAAACAGGGGGAUUUGAUAACAUUUUGGCACUGAUAGGGAGCAUUUAGAAAGGAGUCCCCUUAGCAUGUGGGGUGUCACCAAGUAUAAAGCUUUCCUUGAAGUCUGAGAUAGAGGUUGAAGUGUCAAAGCUAAGCAAAAUGUUCAGGACCGUCUCAGCACAAUUCACAUCACCUGUUUCACACAGACAAAAGAGAUAAGAGGAAAAAAAGGAAAGUGAGCUUUGAGAACUUUGAGUGAGUAAAAAUUCAUGACUAAUACCAUUAAAGCAGAGCUGAGCUAGCUCACUUUUCCCUUUAUCUCUGAUCACACCUGGCUUGAUUCCUUUUGCUUGGGCAUUAAAUGAAUUCAAUGGCUGUGGGCAUUGUGUGGGCUCAGGAAGUACCACAGGCUGGGGAUCUUCUUUUGCUCUCCACGUCAGUUGCUGGGCAAAAAAGUGAAGUGCUUCGUGGUCUGCCUGAAGCCAGCUGAUAACUGCAAAUGUUUGCUGAUUGCAGCUCACUUGGGCUGCCAGGACUGGCUGCCCAAACUGAGAAAGCGCUCACAGCCAGCACUGAACCUGGGAUGAGGGUGGUGGUGGUGGAGAAACAGCAGAAAAACACUGCUCUGUGUCUUAAUAAAUCAUGCUGUUGCUCAUAUCAGCAUGGUGGGGUUGGAGGAGCUAUCAGAGAUGACAGGAACCACGCUUGCUGAAGCAGAAAGUUUUGCUUGAGUGCUGUUUCAGCUAGGCAUGUGUUAGCACCGUGCUCACAGGGGUUAGGUGUGCAUGUGAAACUUCAGUGAUGGAGUCUGGAACGCCACCAGGAAAUCUGGAAGCAUAUUUCACCUGUCACAGCCUUUGUUUCUUUGGUUCAAUCAUUCCCAUCAUUGUUUGGACAGAUGGUUUUGAGACUAUAACCCAGGAGCCAGGCUCAAAAGACUGCACUGGGUUCUCAGCUUUGCCGUGAUUGCCUUGGGCUGCCUCAUGUAAGGCACUUCUGUGCCUGCAUCGGGAUUUGGGGUUUUGCCUCUUGGGCUGCAGGCUCUCUCUAGGGCUGGAGCCACUUUUAUGUGCAAGACUGUGACCUGGUUCAAGCCUUUCAGAACUUAAAUGGGACGAGUGAUCAUCACAGACGAUGAGGCUACUGGUGGUUAUUAAAAGGAAGGGUCUGGAUGUAAUAUGAGUGUUCUUCCUUAGGCCUCUAAGCAUCUGCUUCUGGCUGUGGUUAGUCAGAGGAUGCUUUUGGUGUUACUCAAGCUCAUUUUGUUGCAAUAGUGAUUCAGACAAGCUCACGUUCUUUAUGUAUAAUCUGGAGAAAUCUGUUCCUUAACUGGAGGCACAGACAUGACAGCCCUGGAGAGAUGGGAACACAGAUUACCUGGAGGCAGAUUCAGGGGGAGGCUUACAAGGAAAAAUGUUGUUGCGCCUUGCGACACUUGUUGUUUUUCCGCAUUAGAAGUGCUGAAUCUGCAUAGUUUCCCUGGACAUCAGUGGCAGCUCUGAGACAUCAGCUGUGGAGACACCUGAAAUAAGCACACGCUGUAGAAGAAUUGCAAGCUGAAGUGACAGGCUGCUUCUGUAGAAAGUCUAAUGGCGAGGUUGUGUCUGACAGUCUGGGGUCCCCCACCACGCACUGAAACAUGCAGAGAAGACAUGUAGGUGAUGGAGCAGAUGGCAGCUGGCUUGCUCUCACGUGGGACCUUCUCCCUUUGCCCUUACAAAUAUGCACGUGGUUCCUGUCAAAUGUCUCCGCAGGGCUGGCUUUGACUGCAUUUUUUUACAGCACGUUUCAGGGGGAGGAAUAUAUUCCCCAUGCCCACCAGCUCCCUCUGGCAAGGAUUUCACAUGGAUUUCAGCAGACCGUUUCAUAGCCAGUGGCUUGUUUGGUCAAAGAAGCUGUCUCCUAUGCCAACACCAUCAGUCCGAGUGUUGUCUGCAGGACCCAGCACCGAUAUCUGAGUGCCACACUGUCUCUGAUGUGUUUCUUCCAAACAAGUGUUAUAAAUUCCUUUUUCCUUGUUAGCGGGAGACAAAUCACAACUUCUAUUUCUUAAAAUAUCUUUUAUUAGCUGUUGUUAUUAAUAGAAUCAAGCUGUUAUGUGAAGAGUUACCUGCUAUUACUAAUAACAUGUUCACUUGCAUAUUAAUUCAUGCUCACUGUUACCCAGCUGGAGCAACUGUUGGGAGGCCAACCCCAACACGCACACUUGGAAGCAGAAGGUCAUCCUGAUGCACCAGUGGUUUCUAGCAGGUCUCAAUUAGUCUGGCUGCUCUGUGAGAGGCACUGGCUCAGUCUGGCAGCUUCGCCAAUGGUCUCAGUUUGCUUCUCUUGCUUUUGCCCAGAGGAGCCUGCUGCUGAAGGAGGAAACACCUUUCCUGGCUGCACAGCGAGGGUCUCCAAAGAAACCUGGGCUGUAGUUUGUGCGUAGUUGGCAAGACUGAAUAUAAUGCCAGCCAGAGAGCCGGGAGAGAGGAGUUAUCAUCUUGGGUGUCUCCACAGUGGAGAAAAGGGGUGAGUGCUCUGCAACUCUUCCUUAUUCAAGCCCUACCUUUUCCCCUCCAUGGAGCCUGAACCUCCAAGAGGUUCCUGGCCUGAGCAGCCAAAGUGGCUGGGAAUAAGAGUUGGGCUAUGGGACACUGAAAUAAAGAAGUCUGUGAGCUACUGAAGAGGCUCCUGAGCACCAUCCCAUGGGCCAUGCCCUUCCCUGCUGCAGGCUGGCUUUCAGUGCGAUUCGAGCAGUCAGCAAGGAGAGGAGAAACCGGCCUGCCCGAUCACUCAGCAGCUUGGUGCUCUGCCCCGUGUCACGGUCAGCUGUGCAGGAACCACAGGGGGACCUGCCUGGUGUAACCAAGAGAACGGAGGGAGUUGGGUUUUUAGAAGGAACUGAUAUGGAGAAACAAUUUGUGCCUCUCUCAGGCAUAUUGUGGUGGGGAAGGAAUGACUUCAGGCACAUUUUUUUUUUUUUUUUCUUGUGGAGAAAAAUGAGAGGGUUGUGCUGCUGUGCUUGGCAGCUAGCUGUGUAGCUGUUACCUAUGAUGGUGUAGGGGGGGUCAACAGCGUGCAGGUUAACACACAUUGAAUGCCUUUACAUUGCUGGCAUUUUGUGGCAGAUAUCAAAAGUGUUCAGAAGUUCCACACAAUCAGAAAUUAAAAACAGGUGGUGGCUCGCAGUUCAUAUGAUAAAAUGCAUAAACCAGGAGGAAAGUGUGAAAAGGCUAAGCUGACGUGUCAGUAAAGCACAGCCACUAGCUGUGGAUUUAGGUGCUAAGAUAAGUGGUGCUGGUUGUUUCACAAAGUCAGGUUCCUUAUCCAGUUAUUGCAGAGCUUCCAUUUGGGAAAUUGGAGCCAUGUGCAGCCCUUAUUGACAGAUUUGCUUUGCAUGUGCUAUGCUACGGUUUGCAAUGCCAGGUACUUUUUUUAUUGUUUGCCUAUGUCACUGAUUGCCAUUGCUGGCUGUGUCUAUUGUGCCAUUUGCUAUCUGUCAAGCUCCCACCCACGCUACCCUGAUGGCUCAAUCAAAAGCCCUCCAGCAACUUGGUUAUUUCUUGUCCUCUGCUGCCAGUUUCUUGUAGAUGGUACUCUUGUAAUCACUGUCUUGCAGUAAGAAGAGUUUUGCACCAACAUCCCCAUCUCCCUCAACACAAAGAGCUGCCUAGCCCUGUCCUCUCAGCCAUGGAAAAGCCAUUUCCAAAUGCCGGAGAAAGGAGGCAGAUUUUCAGUAGCUGUAAAUCUGAGCUGCUGCUGAGAGGUGCUUUAACAAUGCCAGCUGGCCUGGAGCAUCUCCGGAUCUUUCACUGAGGAUGGGGGAAUUAUCUUUAAACUAAAGGGGUGAAGGGAUUGUAUUUCAACUCACUGUCUAAAUGAUCGCUGCUCUCCUUUACGGCUGCACUGGGGUUCUUCAUGACCACGAACCAGCUAUUUGUGCUGAGGGAAGUAGCCCUUUCUCCACAGUAGCCUUUUUACAGAGGGGAUCUGAGGACAUUUAACAGGCUAAUGUGCUCUGAAGUGGGGUUUGCAUGAAAGAUACAGUGCCUGAUCCCAGCCUGACCUUGUAAAUAUUUACUAUUUGAUAUGCCCUGAGCAGUCCUAUACAUGUGAGCAUGGCAAUGGUCAGCAAGAACAUUUAUAAGUAUGUGGGUGUUACUGCCCUUUGUGCUCAAGCUGGUGCCAAAAGGCCAGAAAAGCUCUCUCUGCUCUGCCUCUUGGAGACCAGAGGUCAGAAGCCAUUGGCACCGACACCAUGUGCUACGCCCAGGCAAACAUUUGGGUUAGAAAUGUCUGUAUGUGCUGGCCAUGCGGAAUGGAGAUGUAUCGUUGUUGUGCAACUAAAGGGCAAAGAGACUGUCCUCAGCAUUUGCUGAGCUUAGCAUUCACCCGUGGCACAGCUCAGUGAUGUGCUGCCGGGCAGCACAGCAGUCGGGAGACAGGAGGGUUUCUCCAGCCAUGGAGCAAUCUGUUAUAGCACAACAUGAUACUGGGGCUGAAUGAACCUAACUCGGCAGGGCAGGUAAAUUCAGCUGAGAUCGUUACUGACAACGACCUGCCAGGCGUGCAGUGAUGCUUGCAGUAUGUGCUGUACCCGCUCAGGUAGUAGAAGGGGCUGGCAGUAAAUGUGCUGCUGAGGCAUGAAAGGCCUCCAGUUCCCAUGGCAAAGGCAUUUACUGCUGGGCUGUGCUGUUCUGUUAGCUCAGGACAUCCAGAUGAGGAUGCAGGCACAGAACAAAUAUUAGGAGAGCUGUACCUUGACCCAUCUACCAUUCAAAAGCAUUAAAUAUUUAGAUGUGCAGGCAGAAAUGUUUUGAAUCUCUUGACAGAAAACCUCCUGGGUGCGGGUGCUUUUGUUUCAGUGCAUACUGCAGUGUCCUCUCAUUGCACAGGAACUGGGUUCUGGUAAGGGUUUAGUUUAAAACAGCAAAAGAUGGGAUAUUGUUUGGGUCCAGUUUUCCUCAGAGUCUGAGGGAUAGCCAAAGUCCCUGGAGACCUCUCUUGUCAGCAUCACAGAAACAGAAGCAGCUGAACUCCAAAUGCAGCAGAUAAGACAGAAAUUUCAUAUCACAGCCAUAAACAUCCCUAACCAAACUCUGGCUCCCCUGUGCUAGAUGUGAAGUCUCUUCUCCAGAGACCACAGCAGAAAAUCUAAGGAGCAGGAAAGCAGCAUCUGCGCCAAUUCCUGGAGGAUGAGGAGACCUACCCGGUGUCAUGGAAGAAGCCAAUGGCAGAGUGGGAAGUGAAUAAAUGCAUUAGUUAGUGACUCAGACUCCAAGCUGGCCCAGCCCAAGGGGUGUGAACCUGCGUCAUCCUCCUGACCAGCUAAAUUCCACCGAGGGGACCUCUUGCCAGCGGAUAAUGUGGUCCCAUCAGAGCUGAAAUGCUGCCAGAAACCAGAAAUAUCAUCUUGAAGAAGAAAGAAAAAGGGAGAAAAUCAUUCUGUCCAUAUUGAAAUGCUGCGGUUUGGGUAUUUUCAAAAUGAAAUGUGUCUAGCUUCUGCUUGGAAAAGACUUUCCAGCUGUAUUUCUGUGCAAAAGAACUGAUUGUAUAUAUUAUAAUGGAAGGAUUCAAAAUCUAAAAUAAAGGAAGCAAAACACUCAAAACUAAAAGACAGAACUCCCUCAAGAACAACCAACCAGACAAGAGCUGGGGAAUCCCAGCUCUUUGUCUGUAAAUCAAUCUGAAAAGACUGAGGAGAUUUUCCUUUGAUUUUCCACGGUCAUGUUCAUCCCGCAUCCAAAUGAAAGCUCUUACUGGUAUAUGUAACUUCUGCAAAACAGAAAUGUCCAAUUUUAUGCACUUUUCACUCAUCCCCUUAUGCUUUGCCUGCUCAUGACUCAGCUGAAUUGGAGAGAUUAGAGACAAAGAAAAUUCUCACAAACACAGAAAAUAAAUCCCAUAUGGAUAUUAAAACAAAGCUAGUGCAUCAUUAGCAGAGCUUUUAAAGAGCCUUGAUAUUUCCUGAAAACUCCCAUGUGUCUGCAAUAUCUUCCACAACAUCAAUCCUAGCAUGUUACAUGGUCAUUAGUCCAAAGAACAUACUCAUUCAUUUAUGAGUUUGAAUUAUGAGCUCCAUUGCCAAAGAUCUGAUGUUUAUUGUGUACCAUGUUGGUAAUUUGAUGGCUGGA